rnacentral:rRNA from 1 species
UACGUAGGGUCCGAGCGUUUGUCCGGAAUUACUGGGCGUAAAGAGCUCGUAGGCGGUUUGUCGCGUCUGCUGUGAAAACCUAAGGCUCAACCUUGGGCUUGCAGUGGGUACGGGCAGACUAGAGUGCGGUAGGGGUGACUGGAAUUCCUGGUGUAGCGGUGGAAUGCGCAGAUAUCAGGAGGAACACCGAUGGCGAAGGCAGGUCACUGGGCCGCAACUGACGCUGGAGGAGCGAAAGCAUGGGGAGCGAACAGG